AACGAACGCUGGCGGCAUGCCUAACACAUGCAAGUCGAACGAGACCUUCGGGUCUAGUGGCGCACGGGUGCGUAACGCGUGGGAACCUGCCCUUAGGUUCGGAAUAACUCCCCGAAAGGGGUGCUAAUACCGGUUAAUGUCUUCGGACCAAAGAUUUAUCGCCUUUGGAUGGGCCCGCGUUGGAUUAGCUAGUUGGUAGGGUAAAAGCCUACCAAGGCGACGAUCCAUAGCUGGUCUGAGAGGAUGAUCAGCCACACUGGGAAUGAGACACGGCCCAGACUCCUACGGGAGGAAGCAGUGGGGAAUAUUGGACAAUGGGCGAAAGCCUGAUCCAGCAAUGCCGCGUGAGUGAUGAAGGCCUUAGGGUUGUAAAGCUCUUUUACCCGGGAUGAUAAUGACAGUACCGGGAGAAUAAGCUCCGGCUAACUCCGUG
rnacentral:rRNA from 1 species